rnacentral:snRNA from 1 species
AUACUUACCUGGCAGGGGAGAUACCAUGAUCACGAAGGUGGUUUUCCCAGGGCGAGGCUCAACCACUGCACUCCGGAUGUGCUGACCCCUGCAAUUUCCCAAUUGUGGGAAACUUGACUGCAUAAUUUGUGGUAGUGGGGGACUGCAUUUGCGCUCUCCCCCC